AUGGGGACCGCUCACUGGUCCCUGGUGUUGCUCAGCAAAGCCAGGACACCUGCAGCCCAGUUCCUGGCUGCACUCACAAUGCCCACGUCUGCAGGGAUUUGCACCCCACCCUGCAGGGAUGGGACACCUCCCCUUCUCCCUGAGGGUGGGGACACUGUGACAUGUUCCUCAGUGAGGCUCCCACCGCCGCCGCGGACCGGGGAGCCACCGGCGGCCACCGUAAGUUCCUUCAACUUCAAGCCGUACUGCUCGACCUCCUACAAGCGGCGCUAAGCGGAGACGCCCCGGCUGCACAUCUCCAGCGUGCGCAGGGGCUGCAGCACCGCGCGCUCCGCUUACUCCAGCUACUCUGCGUCGGUUUCUUCCUCGCUGUCCGUGCGCGGCAGCUAUUCGUCCAGCUCCAGCUUGUUGAUGCACAGCCUGGAGAACCUCGAUCUGAGUCAGGUAGCCGCCAACAGCAACGACCUCAAGUCGAUCCGCACGCAGGAGAAGGCGCAGCUCCAGGAUCUCAACGAUCGCUUCGCCAGCUUCAUCGAGCGCGUGCACGAGCUGGAGCAGCAGAACAAGGUCAUGGAAGUGGAGCUGCUGGUGCUGCGCCAGAAGCACUCGGAACCGUCCAGCUUCCAGGCGCUGUACAAGCAGGAGAUCUGCGACUUGCGCCUGGCGGUGGAAGACGCCACCAACGAGAAGCAGGCGCUCCAGGGCGAACGCGAAGGGCUGGAGGAGACCCUGCGCAACCUGCAGGCGCGCUAUGAAGAGGAGGUGCUGAGCCGCUAGGAUGCCGAGGGCUGGCUAAUGGAAGCGAGCAAAAGCGCUGACGAGGCGGCACUUGCCCGCGUGGAGCUCGAAAAGCGCAUCGACAGCCUGAUGGACGAAAUCGCUUUUCUGAAGAAAGUGCACGAAGAUCGCCAAGCUGCAGGCGCAGAUCCAGUACACGCAGAUCUCCGUGGAGAUGGACGUGUCCACCAACCCCGACCUCUCCGCCGCGCUCAAGGACAUCCACGCUCAGUACGAGAAGCUGGCCGCCAAGAACAUGCAGAACGCCGAGGAGUGGUUCAAGAGCCGCUUCACCGUGCUGACCGAGAGCGCCGCCAAGAACACCGACGCCGUGCGCGCCGCCAAGGACAAGGUGUCCGGGAGCCGCCGCCUGCUCAAGGCCAAGACCCUGGAGAUCGAAGCAUGCCAGGGCAUGAACGAAGCGCUGGAGAAGCAGCUGCAGGAGCUGGAGGACAAGCAGAACGCAGACAUCAGCGCUAUAUGCAGGACACGAUCAACAAAUUAGAAAAUGGAUUGAGGACCACAAAGAGUUAAAUGGCACGAUACCUAAAAGAAUACCAAGACCUCCUCAACGUGAAGAUGGCUUUGGAUAUUGAGAUUGCAGCUUACAGGCAACUCUUGGAAGGCUAGGAGACCCGGCUCAGUUUCACCAGCGUGGGAAGCAUAACCAGUGGCUACUCCCAGAGCUCCCAGGUCUUUGGUAGAUAUGCCUAUGGCGGUUUACAGACCAGCUCCUAUCUGAUGUCCACCCGCUCCUGCUCGUCCUACUGCACCAGCCAUGUCCAAGAGGAGCAGAUUGAAGUGGAGGAAACCAUUGAGGCUGCUAAAGCUGAGGAAGUCAAGGAUGAGCCUCCCUCUGAAGGAGAAGCCAAGGAGGAGGAGAAGGACAAGGAAGAGGAGGCAGCCGAAGAGGAAGAAGCUGCCAAGGAAGAGUCUGAAGAAGCAAAGGAAGAAGGAGGCGAAGUUGAAGAAGGAGAGGAAACUAAAGAAGCUGAAGAGUGCUGAGGAGUUGAAGGUGCUGGGGAGGAACAAGCAACUGAGAAGAGAGAUUGAACCCCCAUUUCCUUAAUUAUUUCAGGAACAAUUCUUCCAAAAUCAGGUCAACCCCAUCACCAACCGACCAACCAGUUGAGUUCCAGAUCCUGUGUGAAUGAAAAAGUCAAUAUAUAUGUAUCAUUCUGAGAUGACUUAGGUUGGACGUUCAAUGUUGCGCUGUGAAUUUCCUCUUUAUGCAGUGCCUGUGCUGUGAAUUUCCUCUUCAUGCAGAGUAUCUGUGCUGUGAAUUUCCUCUUCAUGCAGAGUAUCUGUUUGCUUGCAGAGUGGCUUUCUGGCUUGCUGCCAGCCUGUGCAUGGUCUGCGCUUAUGAGUUCAGGAACUGUGGCAAUGUGAAUCAUUCAGAUGUUUACAAUAAAAAACACCACAUGAGUAAAUGAAUUCACUACUGUUAACAUUAAACUUCAUGAAAAAAUAGUCCUUUGAACCUUUCGUGGUUAGCAGUUAAAGAUCUUGAGUUAUGUGCAAUAAAUAGUAAAUAAAGUUGUACAGAAAAAAAAAUGGAGACAUCAUUCAUAGACCAUAACUUCACCCUCAUAAACUAAGAUUCAGUGAUUUCUCAGUAUCCUUCUUUCUUUAAACCUUUGUGUGUUUUCUGAAAAAGUUUUUUAGCAAAAAGCCAGUGUUACUAUUGUAAACAGAAAGUUGUACUAUUCUAAUGAGGAGAAAUAAACCUCUUGCCCCCUUCAUAGGCUGUGGAACCAGGAGGGGCUCAGUGCAGUCUGGCAGCUGUCAUGAUAGCGUGAGAUCUGGGAGGAUAGAGGCCCUCACCUUCCACUGC